GACGAACGCUGGCGGCGUGCUUAACACAUGCAAGUCGAACGGAAAGGCCCUGCUUUUGUGGGGUGCUCGAGUGGCGAACGGGUGAGUAACACGUGAGUAACCUGCCCUUGACUUUGGGAUAACUUCAGGAAACUGGGGCUAAUACCGGAUAGGAGCUCCUGCUGCAUGGUGGGGGUUGGAAAGUUUCGGCGGUUGGGGAUGGACUCGCGGCUUAUCAGCUUGUUGGUGGGGUAGUGGCUUACCAAGGCUUUGACGGGUAGCCGGCCUGAGAGGGUGACCGGCCACAUUGGGACUGAGAUACGGCCCAGACUCCUACGGGAGGCAACAGUGGGGAAUAUUGCACAAUGGGCGGAAGCCUGAUGCAGCAACGCCGCGUGCGGGAUGACGGCCUUCGGGUUGUAAACCGCUUUCGCCUGUGACGAAGCGUGAGUGACGGGAAUGGGGAAAGAAGCACCGGCUAACUACGU
rnacentral:rRNA from 1 species